rnacentral:rRNA from 1 species
UACGUAGGGUGCAAGCGUUGUCCGGAAUUAUUGGGCGUAAAGAGCUCGUAGGCGGCUCGUCGCGUCGGCUGUGAAAACCUGGGGCUCAACCCCGGGCCUGCAGCCGAUACGGGCGGGCGUAGAAUUCGGUAGGGGAGACUGGAAUUCCUGGUGUAGCGGUGAAAUGCGCAGAUAUCAGGAGGAACACCGGUGGCGAAGGCGGGUCUCUGGGCCGAUAUUGACGCUGAGGAGCGAAAGCGUGGGGGAGCGAACAGG